rnacentral:rRNA from 1 species
AGUGAACGCUGGCGGUAGGCCUAACACAUGCAAGUCGAACGGCAGCACAGAGGAGCUUGCUCCUUGGGUGGCGAGUGGCGGACGGGUGAGGAAUACAUCGGAAUCUACUCUGUCGUGGGGGAUAACGUAGGGAAACUUACGCUAAUACCGCAUACGACCUACGGGUGAAAGCAGGGGACCUUCGGGCCUUGCGCGAUUGAAUGAGCCGAUGUCGGAUUAGCUAGUUGGCGGGGUAAAGGCCCACCAAGGCGACGAUCCGUAGCUAGUCUGAGAGGAUGAUCAGCCACACUGGAACUGAGACACGGACCAGACUCCUACGGGAGGCAGCAGUGGGGAAUAUUGGACAAUGGGCGCAAGCCUGAUCCAGCCAUACCGCGUGGGUGAAGAAGGCCUUCGGGUUGUAAAGCCCUUUUGUUGGGAAAGAAAUCCAGCUGGCUAAUACCCGGUUGGGAUGACGGUACCCAAAGAAUAAGCACCGGCUAACUUCGUGCCAGCAGCCGCCGUAA